rnacentral:snRNA from 1 species
NCCAUGCAGAGAAGAUUAGCAUGGCCCUGCUCAAGGAUGACACGCAAACUCAUGAAGCGUUCCAUAGUUUU